AUUGAACGCUGGCGGCAGGCCUAACACAUGCAAGUCGAGCGGAGCGGCGGACGGGCGAGUAAGGCCUAGGUAUCUGCCUGCCCGUGGGGGAUGGAGUACGGAUAGGGGCGCUAACUCCUCACGCUUUCAGUUGAGUCUAGGCCGGAUGGGCUAGUUGGUGGGGUAAAGGCCUACCAAGGCGACGAUCCGUAGCUGGUCUGAGAGGAUGAUCAGCCACACUGGAACUGAGACACGGUCCAGACUCCUACGGGAGGCAGCAGUGGGGAAUAUUGGACAAUGGGCGAAAGCCUGAUGCAGCCAUGCCGCGUGUGUGAAGAAGGUCUUCGGAUUGUAAAGUACUUUAAGUUGGGAGGCGUUACCCGCAGAAGAAGCACCGGCUAACUCCGUGCCAGCAGCCGCGGUAAUUC
rnacentral:rRNA from 1 species